UCAGAUGGUGAGAGGGCGAGAUGCCAUGGAAAAGGGCUUGGAGUUUGAGUUUCACUCUAUAAACAAGACCAAGUUUUGCCAUGUUACCCAGGCUAGUCAUUAACUCCUGGCUCCAAGUGACCUUUUUGCCUUGGCCUCCCAAAGUGCUGAGAUUACACACGUCAGCCACCAUGCUUGGCCAACUAUUUCCCAUUCUAGGGUCUUCCUUUGUUGCCCAGGCUAGAGUGCAGUGGUGCCAUCUCAACUCACUGCAGCCUCCCAGGUUCAAGUGAUUCUCCCACCACAGCCUCCCGAGAAGCUGGGACUACAGGUAUGUGCCACCACGCCUGGCUAAUUUUUGUAUUUUUUUGUAGAGAUGGGGCUUCGCCAUGUUGGCCCGGCUUGUUUUGAACUCCUGACCUCGAGUGAUCCACCCGCCUUGGCCUCCCAAAGUGUUGGGAUUACAGGUGUGGGCCACCGUGCCCAGCCUUGUAGUUUAUUCUUGAUGUUCUUGUGCCUCCUCAAAAAUGCGGUAAUCUAUUUAACUCUCC